CCGCCGACAGAUUGGGUCCCACCCUGACC
rnacentral:sRNA from 1 species